CACGUGCACUGCUGCACGCCAGCACCUUUGCCAGGCGUCAGAGCCUGGGCCUUCACUGUCACCAGCUAGUUCUGAGUAAAAACCAGAGACAGGGACAGACCUUGUUGCAGGGUCCUGAGGAAGGAAAGCGAUUGCAAAUGAAAAGUUCCCACAGGAGACUGACAGAGAAGUUCUUAUGGAUACCCAUCUUCAAUAUGAUCCAGGAAUCAGAGCUCUGAGCACAGCCUCAUGGGAACCAUGAUAGUAAUAUUCACGUUAGGGUGGACAAAGUACUCUGCUCUGGGGACAGCUCACCAUGGAACAGUUUGAGGUUUGGUGGCAGUUUUGCUCAAUAAUUCAUUCACUCAUUUGCUCUUUCAUGUGCCAAAUUCCCUCUUUGACCAGAAGACGGGAGUCAACCCAGGAUGCUGAGAUUCAGACACACCUGUUACUCUGUCUCCAUUCUCCCUCCUCAACAGAACACAGGGUUGAGGGUAGCGGUGGGGCCACAGUCCCCAUCUGUUAUGAUUUCGGUGAAAAAUGUUCCCUUUGUGUAUCUGAACACUUGGUCCCCAGCUGGCGAUGCUGUUUUGGGGGUUGUGGGAAACUCUGGGAGACGUAGAUGGAACAGUGGCUAGCUGAGGAAUGGGCCUCGGGGUUUAUAGCCCAGCCUUCCUUUCUGUUCCCACACCUGCACAUCCACUCAGGUGCGAGAAAUCAGCCUCGCACUCUUGCUGCCACAGCUGAACCCUCCCCUGCCCCAUGCCUUCCUCGCCAUGGUGAACCAUCCCCUCAGACCUGAGCCUGAAGGGAACUCUUAAGCUGCUUCUUGUGGGGAACUGGUCACGGCGACAAGAAACUCAGCAAUCUAUCAUUCAUCUCGGCUCUACCAUGUGCAAGCCGUGUGACUGGGCAAACCGCCUCGGCCUCAGCAAGCCUUCCUUUCUCGGUCAGCCGAACAGGAAUGAUGGCGUCGCAUGGCGAGUGUCACUCUCCCCAGGGCUGUCUCCAAAAGGACAACGAGACCCAGUCUUUGCGAAAUGCUUUAUUGCUAUUGCCAAGGUGAAAAUCAGCAAGUCAGUCUCUGAUCACACUCUGCGGCUGGCGACAGGGCCUCUGUCAUUCCAGCCCAGUCAGGUUUGCCUGUUGAUACUUUUGUCCACAGCAAGACACUUCUACCCUGAUGCUCAAGCAUGCUAGCAAGCUGAGUUCUUAUAUCAACUAUGACUGGCCUGGAGCAGCCAGGCCUGUGGAAUGAUUUUUUGCAUAUCAGUGGAUGGACUUCUUGCUCUAAUCCUUCACUGGAGGCACCAAGAAACAAAGGUCCAGAGAGGGGCGUCGUCAUUCCCAUUUCGAAAGCACAAUGAACUGAUGAAUUGUGGCUGACAGGUGGAAGACCAGGCUUAAAGAUGUGCUUUCUGGUGGCCGUCACCUAUAGUGACCAGUCUCUCACAAAGCUUUAUGGUGACAGACUGAGCACAAAUGGCCUGGGCACUGGGUAUGACUGUGACACAAAUAUGGUGGUGGGACCAUGGAGAAAGCAGCUGUUAGCCUCUUUAGGCUCAGUGCCAAUCACGGAUGAAAGAUGGGAGCAAGAACACAUCCCUUGCAACUGCGAUCAGAGAAGCCACCAUUAGUAUAUUAGUAUUAUUUGUAACACCUUGCUAAUCUAUUCAGCAAAUCACCAACUACCAACAGAUGAAUGGGCUGUCGUAUCAUCAUGGCUUCCUCUGAGUCAGCCUGUGGGUUUCGGGAAGAGUCCCAGCUCAGGGCCGGACCACUUUGCCAAGGAACAAGAGCUCCAUGUUGUCCACAAUGGCAAACAGAAAAGGUCGGUUGAAUUUUAUCUGCAGAGUCUUCAGCCGAGCAGAUCUGACCAUGACGACCGCUCCUGUGGCAGCAGCCGCUACGGUUCCUGUCUCGUCUACCUCCACCAAGGAUUUGUGCAUGAUCUGCAGGCAGACAGUGGGGCCAGGUUGUGGUGAUGCAUCAUGAUAAAAAUGUUGCUUGUAUUUCUAAGGAACUGGAACCUCACAACCAGAGUUAAUAAUACAUCCAGAGGUCACGGAAGUCGGCCAUUCUACUGCUGGCGUAACCUGCUUUUAAGUGAACGGAGCAAUAAACAACCUCACUUGCCUUGGAUUUCCUAUGCAGUCUUAAAUUAUAUACUCUUCCAUUGUCCCUGAUCUAGACAACACUGAGUGUCAUUUGCUGAAAACAUCAGAUACAGAAGUUGAAAGCAAUCUUCUAAAAUGAAAUCAUAAACAAUGGUGUUUGU